rnacentral:lncRNA from 1 species
GCAUUAAAGAAUUUCAGAUUUUUCAAUGGACUACAUUGUGGAACUUUUUAUCCUCAAAGCGGUUGUCCUGAAGAAUCCAGCAGGCUGAAGGGUAGAGCAUGCCUCCAUAUCAAAGGGGAUGGUAGAAUUAAGUCUGUACUUGUAUCUGAUGAAGGAAAUCUCCUUUCUCAUACUAAUGGUGCUGAUACUGUGGUAAAGAAUUCCCCAAUCAGCGGCAUUGCUACUGGAAUUCAGAUACAGCCUGAUUCUGUACAAUUUGGAACUCUUGUGGCAGAUAUUGCUCCUAGCAGUACUGGAUUCCCAGUUGAUAAUGAUGAAUCUGAUUUGGAUCGGCCCACCGAAGGCUUCUCCUCCAUUUCAGAUGCCAUUCAAGACAUUCGUAAUGGAAAGGUACAAUUGCUUUUCGGAUUGGAUUUUAAUAUGUAGUAUGAAUACCAUGUGCUUCUGUAUGCUAUUUGUUAUAUUCUUCAACACAUAUUUGUAGAUAGUAUUGGUCGUAGAUGAUGAAGAUAGAGAAAAUGAAGGCGAUUUAAUAAUGGCAGCAUCAAAGGUUACACCAGAGGCAAUGGCCUUCUUUGUGAAGCAUGGGACUGGCAUUGUAUGUGUUAGUAUGAAAGAAGAAGACCUGGAAAGGUUGAAUAUUCCUUUGAUGGUGAACAGUAAGGAUAAUGAGGAGAAGCUUUGCACUGCCUUCACAGUUUCAGUGGUAAGUCAUUUCUUUUCUGGAUGCAGCAUUAGAUUCUUCAUAGUUUACUUCUCUUCUAUAUUACGUUUUGAACUUUUCUGGCUGGAAAUACCCAAGGUGGUGGUCUAGGAGAACCUGCCUAAAAUUUAGAAGACUUUUCAUUUUAUUAUUUGUUAUUUCAGAUUUCUUAUGAUUUUAUUUUUUUUAAUUUUUUUUAUCCGUUCCCUCCAAAAAGAUAAAGCAAAUAAAACAAUUCUAGUCAGUGUACUGCAUCUAUGAUUUGGUUUGAAAUUUUUUACAGAGUUGGACCUGAAAAGGGUGUAGAUAGUGCUGAUGGCGUCAAAGGCUGGUAAAAUGAUGCUUGUGUAUGUCUUUGUUAUACAAUUUUGCAGGAUGCAAAACAUGGAACAAGUACAGGGGUAUCAGCUCGUGAUAGAGCAACAACAGUUCUGGCUCUUGCUUCCAAAGAUUCAAAGCCUGAGGAUUUCAACCGCCCUGGUCAUAUAUUUCCAUUAAAAUACAGGGAGGGCGGUGUCCUGAAAAGAGCUGGGCACACAGAAGCUUCUGUAGAUCUCUCUGUGCUUGCGGGUUUAGAACCUGUUGGAGUUUUAUGUGAGGUUGUGGAUGAUGAUGGUUCCAUGGCUAGACUACCUAGACUUCGGCAAUUUGCCGAGGAGGAGAACAUAAAGAUUAUAUCUAUAGCUGAUUUGAUCAGGUUGGUCAACAGACUAUCUCUUUGCUUUCCAAUGAACUAGGCUUUUGAUGUUGAUAUUGUUCCAAUAUAUUGUUAAUAAUAAUAAUUCUAAUUCUGCAUCUUGAGUGUUGACUUGAUAAUUAGCAUUUUCUGCAUGUGUUGAUUAUAGCCAACAUUGUGAGUCAUAGGAGAGUUAUUAGAAGAUCUGACAAAGGAGAUGUAUGGCGAGAUGUUAAUCCAUCGAAUAAUAUCUACCAAGUCAUGGAACUUUUUAUGCUAUACAUGUUACUUCUGUUUCCUUGUCAUGUGUUGAAUUAUUUGUGUCUCUUCAUCAUCUUUCUGUAUUUCACAUCAAGAAGUGAUCAAAACUCACCUGCAUGAUGUGAAAUUCAUGCCAUUUAUAUAUUUCUUCGUCCUGCUUUAUAUUUGCUUGGUGGUUGAUUGAUGCCAUAGCAUGAAAGGAUGCAAAGAUGAUAAUUCUUUUGAAAAUGCUCAAAAUUUGCAGAUAUAGGAGGAAAAGAGAUCAACUGGUGGAGCAUGCUUCUGCUGCAAAAAUACCUACCAUGUGGGGCCCUUUCACUGCCCACUGUUAUAGGUCUAUUUUAGAUGGGAUCGAGCAUAUUGCGAUGGUCAAGGUCUUUACUUCUCAAACUGCUCUAUAUAUAAGUUCUUGAGUACUACUCUAAAAUCAUUUGAAUGUGUUCAAGUUUUGUCUUCAUGUGAAGUUAUUUGAAGUAGAUUCAGUACAAUUAUCCCCAUCUGAUAUGGUUGUUUUAACCAGAUAAUAUUGCAUGAGUGUACUUACAACACAAAAUAACAUUUUCAAACCUUCUAACAACAUAUCAUUCUGCAGCAUUCAGUUUAGGCAGCUGUAGAAUCUGGCUAAGUGACUGAUUCCCUUAUAAAUGAUUUUUUGAAUUAUGUAAAGAUACAUCGAAAUCAGAGUUUAGGUUGCAAGUUUAUGUUGGCUCUGAAGAGAAAUUUAAGGAGCUCUAUGUUUUGACCAGGGUGAGAUUGGGGAUGGGCAUGAUAUUCUUGUCAGAGUACAUUCAGAAUGCCUCACAGGAGACAUAUUUGGUUCAGCCAGAUGUGACUGUGGAAACCAGUUGGCACUUGCAAUGGAACAGAUUGAGGAAGCUGGUAGGGGUGUCCUGGUAUACCUCCGUGGUCAUGAGGGAAGAGGGAUUGGCUUGGGUCACAAGCUUCGUGCUUAUAAUCUACAAGAUGCUGGGCGUGACACAGUGGAAGCGAAUGAAGAGCUUGGAUUGCCGGUUGAUUCAAGAGAAUAUGGAAUCGGGGCUCAGGUAUUACCAUGUAUAACGUCAUUGAUGUAUUUCCAGAGCAAAAGCAAACUUUUCCAAAUGAUAGUGGCUAUUGGAAUCAAGUUCACAGAUAGCAUUUAUGAUCAAUUUUUAGUCUUUUUCUUCGUAAUCUUUGGUGAAGUGUCACAUUCAAUAAUAUUAGGGGAUGUAAGAUGGUUUUAUUUGUUUAUACGCUCCCAUCCUUUUUCUUGCUUCUUGGCUUACUGAAUGCGGAUGCACACUUCUCCUUUUUUAUUGUCCUACUAUGUCAUAGGACUGAGGCUAAUAUUUUCUGCAGAUACUGCGAGAUCUUGGAGUUCGAACCAUGAAGCUGAUGACAAACAACCCUGCAAAGUACAGUGGGCUCAAGGGCUAUGGUCUAGCGGUUGCUGGGCGCGUCCCUCUUCAAAGUUUCAUUACAAAAGAGAACAAGAGAUAUUUGGAAACUAAACGUGUCAAAUUGGGCCACAUAUAUGACUUCAGUUCAAAUGGUUUUCCGAACUUAAUUAGCAACAAGAAUGGUAAACCCAGCGCUGGGAGCUAAACAAAUGGAUCUGACUCGUAAGCUUCUCUGUUUCCA